ensembl:ncRNA W09C2.13 ncRNA
ACUAAAGUGGAAAAUACUAGCGUAACCAUAAUGUACCUAAUGUUUCAGAGAUUAUAAUUGACGAAGUGGGUCUUCGGUACUUUCUAAGAAUUGAUAAGAA